rnacentral:rRNA from 1 species
GGCUCGGGCGGCCGCCCGGGUUACCUUGUUACGACUUAGCCCCAGUCGCCGGUUUUACCCUAAGCGCCGCCUGGCAGCUAACGCCUUCAGGUCCACCCGACUCCCAUGGCUUGACGGGCGGUGUGUACAAGGUCCGGGAACGUAUUCACCGCGCCAUGGCUGAUGCGCGAUUACUAGCGAUUCCAGCUUCAUGAGGGCGAGUUGCAGCCCUCAAUCCGAACUGAGACCAGCUUUUUGAGAUUGGCGCCCUGUCGCCAGGUGGCUACCCUUUGUACUGGCCAUUGUAGCACGUGUGUCGCCCUGGGCGUAAGGGCCAUGAUGACUUGACCUCGUCCCCCCCUUCCUCUCUGCUUGCGCAGGCAGUAUAUCCAGAGUCCCCAAUUUACUUGCUGGCAACUGAAUACAGGGUUGCGUCGUUGCGGGCUUAACCAACACUCACGGCACGAGCUGACGACACCAUGCAGCACUUGUUUCGCGUCCUGCAGACUGCCUUUCCAGUCAUCGUUCACAUCUAGCCAGUAGGUUCUCGCGUAUCAUCGAUAACACAUGCUCACGCUGUGCGACCCGCAUUCUUGAGUUCACUUCGUCGACUCCAGUGAUACUAUCGUUCCUAGCGUCACGUUGCGCGACAGGGUAUCA